UGCAGAGGUACCGUGUCGAGCUAUCAGUUGAUGACGGCAACGAUAAUGCUAUGUUUGUGGUCUUCGACAUGGAGAAAACUAAGCUCGCUAAGAGAGAUGCUGCUGAUCUGGGUGGGUCAUGAGCUAUGAAUGGCGUUGGAGGGCAGGAACUACCGACAUGUCUUGAAGAGCUUGCUAGAAAGGAAUAAUACGUGUCACUUCAUACAUUUUCACAUCAAACCAUCAGAGUAGCAGCAACAACCAAGCCCCAGUUGUUGAAGGGGAAGGUGGAGAAACAGCUGCAUCUGCCAGCAACACUGCUGCAGCAGGAGACGAUGAACCAAAUCCUCCCGGUUUUGAAGCGAUAGAGAAUAGUCGCAAACGCACGUGUGAGUGAUAGUUCCAAGCCCGUCCUGCUGUCAACCCCACUUAGCUUUCGUCUGUUUCGAAUUUCCUAACUUGCUAUGAUUUGAAUCGAUUAUAUAUGAUUUUCAACUUUGAUUUUUCUCUUAAAUUUCUGGCUAAGUCUCUCCCACAAAGAGGACAAUUACUAAUUUUUUAUAUUAAAAAGGCAGUGUUGAGUCU